UUACCUCUGAGAUUAGGUUACAAGAAGACUACAGCUUUCUCUCGACCCCUCUCUGUCUCCUUCCGUCUCUCUCUCCACCACCCGACACGUGGCGAGCUGCCUGCGGAGAGGCCCGUGUGGCAAGGAGCCGAGGAUGCCUUCCGCGAGAAGCCUGCAAGGACCUGAGCUUGGCCAACAGCUACGGGCCUGAGCCCCAAAGGCCUCCCUGCGUCCAACCCAACACGGCCCGGGUUGUCACUUUGAUUGCCACCGGGGAGACCCUGAGUCAGAGGAUCACUAAGCUGUGCCUGGAUCCCUGACCCACAGAAAGAGUGAGGCCAGACGUGUUUGUUGUCCUAAACACCUCAGUUUGGGGUUAUUUGUUAUGCGGCAAUAGAAAUGCGAACGCUAGCGCUCACGUCCAGAUGUCCAGAUCGGGUGGCUAGGAGCCCGUGUGACCCAAAGGAGCGGGCUCCCCUCUCACCUCUUGCCACACCCCCAGCGUCACUCCUGGGCCAUCGCUUUUUGGUCAAACCUCAUUCUUAGGUGUUUUUGUGCCUUCGUACAAGCAAUUUUUUUCUGCCUGAAACAACCCGUGUCUGUCCUGCAGGUAAAGUCCUGCUCACGCCCUGACAUCUGGCGUGGACGCCCUCUGGAAGGCCUCCGGUCCAGGGUUCAGCCGGCGCAGCUCCCACCCCUUGCCCUGGGGCCCCCCGGCCCUGGGCCUCUGCCUGUGGCCGCACAGCCUGGACGGCGGGCGCUUCUCUUCGUCUUGCAGCCCCUGCUGCCCGCACAGCACAGGGACGGACGCCAGGCCCAGGCACGGUCCGUGGCUGUUUUGUGGAGCCAAGGAGCCUAGCAGGAGGCCGUCGGCGGCCAGUCGCGCUCCCAGCUCGGGCAGGAAUCAGAUCCUCGGGCUGCGCCGCGUGUAGCCCAAGACUCCUGGACUAAUCGGCCCCGUCGGCACGUCUAAGGCCACGGUGCCUCCCAGCGCUUCAGCCCUCAGGCAUCACCUUCCUUCCCUGCAUUUUGAGGGAAAACUAGAGAGGAACCAUGAAGGCAUCCCUGGGGCCAACCUGAGAGCGUGCUGACUGUGGGUGUCAGGUCGCCGUCCAGGCCCUGAAGCUCGCGAGCACCUGGGUGCGGAGCAGCUGCAAGCCUGUCCACCCAGCGCCGUGUUGGGGCGAUUGCGCGUCCUUGGUCGGAUCGUCCCUGCUCCUCCGAGGCUCUCCCCCUGGCCUUGGACUCCCCAGGAACGGCUUCCCACGCGGGCUCCGGACGUGCUCUUGCCGCCCCGUCCCCGCUGUCCGCAGGGAGGCUGAAGAGUCCGUCUGGCCCAUCCGCCCAAGCCCUGCGGCCGCCCCGGGCCAGGUGGGUCUGGGCGCAGCCUCGUCCCGCCUCCUGCCUACCUGCCGGCCGAACUCUGGUCACGCUAGAGCCUCCGUGGCCGGGGAGGCGCCGCAGCCCCUCCACCGAGCCCGGGACCACCUGGCCCGGGGAACCCAGCUGUUCCUGCAGAUUCUGUUGCGCUCUCGCCUCCUCCGAGGACCCCUUGACGUCUCUAACCAAACCCAAGCACGGACCGGAGCUUCAGGGCUCCACGCGUCGCCCUGUCACCGUCGCUUGGGCGGGGAUCUGACCCGGGUCUCUCGGUUUGCUUCCCCACGGGCAGGGAGGAGAGGGGGAGCGGACGCCAGUGCCCUGGAGGGCCCGUGGGGAGGGGCAGGCAUGAGGACUGAAUGGAACCCAAAGGGGCGCAGGAAGACGACCUGAAGGUCCCACAACAGGAUGUCGGAGUUUCUUAGGAAAUCUGCCGAGUGCACAGCAUUCCCAGUUGCUGUCCCUGCCCUGCCCCAGGCCCACCUCUGCCCCCGUCCCACUCCCGGGGCUCUCCUGCCCCAGCACUCCUUCCCCCUGGGCAGGGGUGCUCCCUUGGGCACGCGCUCUGGGGCUCCUGCGUGUGCACCCUAGCCCAGCACCGCCCUGCACCCUGACCCCCGGCAGCCCGGCCGCUGCCUCAGAGCUUCACCCUUCCCCGCGGGGGUGCAGGGGAGCGGGGCCCACGUCAUCCUGGCUGCUGCUUCGGGCCUGCGGAGGGAGCUUCGCCUUCCUCCCAGUGUGGACGGCGUGUCAGUCGGCCUGCAGUGAGCAUGAUCCAUUGUCCCCUCGUGUCCCCCGGGGCCCCCACCCUUCCUGGGGGGUCAUCUCUAGUCCCACGUCUGGGGCCGCCCGGUGGCUUCAUGUCCCAGCCCCUGUUCCUUCCAGGGCUCAGGCAGCCUGACAGCCCUCGGGGCAGCCGUUCUUCCCACAUUUACUGCCUCGGAGAGACGGAGACAGGGACGGGGGCUGGGGGGAGAGGGGCAAGGCGGUGCCCUCACCCGGAGCUUGUCGCCCUCUGGGGCUCCUUCCAGGCACCUGCGCGGCUGGGUGAGCGGCCUUGGCCGUGGCUGUCGGGGGGCUGGGAAUCCGUCUUCUCCGCACUAAUUUUUGCCAAGAGGCAGGAGUUUGGAAGAACAUGAAUCUGCUUCCUUCCAGCUUUGCCUACACGGAUGACAGUAUUAUCACCCUCGGGCUUUUAAACCGAAAGUCUGCACGGAGAUCACGGAGUCCGGGAGGGCUCCUGAGUCAUCGGAGCUAAUUGCCUUCUUUCUUCCCUGGGUCCUCGGUGUCUGUGAGUCAGCGGCUGGAGCACGGAGCCUCGGGAGGCCUGAGGGACGGCGUGUGCCCUGUGGAGCCCGCACACGGGAAGGUGCCUCGCAGACCACAGGACGUGCAGGGGGGCAUCCCCGGGAGGCUGCGGGGCGUCGGGGCAGAGCUCGGGUCCUCGGGGAGACCCGGAGACGUGCUGGGGAGCAGGGCUGGGGGUGCUGCUCCCGGGAGCCCCACUCCGGGCCGCCUCCCAGGCUUUCCCACUAGGGGGCAGGCAGAGGCAGGAGAAGAGUGAGGUGCUGGCCCGCGGCCCCGAGCACCCAGGCUCCCACCCAACACCAAGCCGACAAGACCAGGCCCCUCUUCCUGCCCUCUUCGGCCUGUGACAUCGCAGACCACGCGGCCACGUAACCACAGUGGAUGUAAUGAGAGAGAGAGAGCGCGAGAUCCCUGGUUUUCUUAUUUCACUCACCGUUUGUGGGUUUUCUAUUCGUGCCUCACGUGCCCGUUCAUUGUCGGGAACAGUCAAGAUGUACCUGAACUCCACCACUUUAUAAAAUGAGGAGGAGGGGAGGGGCGCCCUGGGGGUCCCCGGGUCACCGAGGCUCCAGUCCUCAGGCCCAGUCGCCGCUGCCCCCAUCUCCCGCCCAGCGCUCCUCUGUGUACCAACCCAGCAGUUCGAGGGAAACUCAUUUUCUGGAUGAUUCCCACAUGCCUUGAAAAGUCAUUUCCGCCUCAGAAGCUCCAGGUGAUGGGGACCCUUGAUUGGUGUAAAUGUUUUCUAAUCCCCAAGGAUUAGAGAAAAGCAGCACAGCUUUCCUUCUACGCAGGUCAUCCUCUAAUCAAAGUUACGGGGCCCAGACACCGGAGCCUAAAGUAACUAAAGUCUUUGUGUGGAAAGGAGAGUCGCUUCAUACGAAGCCGGAGGGUUGGAAGGUCGCAUCCUCCUGCCUGCAGAGAAUGUCCGACCCGCAGCCCCUCGGUGCUUGAGGACCUUAAUAGAAGGCUUUGCUUUAACGAAGUUAAAGACUCUUUAAUGGUUUGCAUCUUUAAUUGCAAUGAGAACAGAGCAGCCGUAUGGUGUGAGCCAGUGAGACCGGGCUGAAAAGGAAUGGUUUGGUUUUUCUAAUGGAAUCAGGAUUCCUAUGCAAACCUCUUUUAUGCCGCAGCCUUUUUUGAAUGCCGCCCCUGAUUUCAUUCCAGUAGUAAUCACAGCUGAGCACUAUCUUUUAAAGAUAAAGCCUGAUGGCGUUACUUUAAUGGUCUGCAAGACGCUCUCCAGAAUCACCUAAAAAUAUGCAUCUUCAACGAUACCAUAGAUUAGUUCAUCUAAAAUUGUUUGGUCUCCAAUUAAAAACAUAAACAGGCUUGGAUAUAUUUGGACACAGAUGUUGCCGGAGUUUCCAGAUUCCAUUGUUUAAAGGUAUUCCAUAAAUAUGACAAAAAGCGCGGAGACGGCGCCCGUCUGAUUGGGUAUUCAGGCCGACAAAGCGCGUAAUCGCCGGGCCGGAGCCGCCGAGCAGCCCUCAUUCAUCUGAAUUCCCUUUCGCGGAUCAACAAGGCUUGACCUCGAUUUCUUAAACGCAAGCGAGAGCCGUUGAUGCGAUCCGAGCAAACCAGUCGUUCCGACGCCCCGACGAGUCUGGAAUCAGAACUGAUGGACAGAAGCUGGAGGGAGUAACGGGCUCCGGGCAGUCGUGCUGGGCUCGGAGGCCACGGCUACCGGCCGAGCUCAACUUCGGCCUUGUUCCCAGGGACGGUCAGUUCGCCAGCGGGGUCCUGCGGGGAGGGCCGCCCCGGCUCCGCUCCAGCGUCCCCGGCCCUCUCCGCGGCCACCGCGCCCGGGCCUUCCUCGCCUGUGUCCCCAGCAGGGCCUCCCUUCUCUUCCUGACAAAGCACUUUCAGUCAACUCUUGGAUUUCUUCACGGCUGAUUAAACCGUCUGUGUGCAUCCAGGACCCUUCUCCUCUUUCUGUGUCCGGCCGCUGACCUUUCUGCGAGUUCACUGUCGGGGGACAGAGCUCGCCCCCGCACCCCCCGACUACUUGCUAGCAGCCCUGGUGACCAUGUGACCCCGGGAGGGGUGCAGGCUGUUGAAAUAUUAGUGCCUCUUCUAAGCAUAUGACUUUUCGCCCGGGGGGUUUUCUGAGUGAGGCAGGGGCACGGGGAAAGCGGCCACCCUGCCAGCCCGCGAGUUACACCCACCAGCACCCUCCCCCGCUGUGGGUGGUUGUGCCGUUAGCCCCCACCGGCUCCCCGUGGGGGGUGAGCCCAGCGAGGAGGAGGGAUGGUGGCGCGGCCAGGAAACGGGAAGGACACAGGAAAACGCAGCACGAGGAUUUGUGGAGGGCCCAAGGACCAGUCCCUCCAGCCGG